AUUGAACGCUGGCGGCAUGCCUUACACAUGCAAGUCGAACGGCAGCACGGGAGCAAUCCUGGUGGCGAGUGGCGAACGGGUGAGUAAUAUAUCGGAACGUGCCCAGUCGUGGGGGAUAACGCAGCGAAAGCUGUGCUAAUACCGCAUACGAUCUACGGAUGAAAGCGGGGGAUCGCAAGACCUCGCGCGAUUGGAGCGGCCGAUAUCAGAUUAGCUAGUUGGUGGGGUAAAGGCCCACCAAGGCGACGAUCUGUAGCUGGUCUGAGAGGACGACCAGCCACACUGGAACUGAGACACGGUCCAGACUCCUACGGGAGGCAGCAGUGGGGAAUUUUGGACAAUGGGCGCAAGCCUGAUCCAGCAAUGCCGCGUGCAGGAUGAAGGCCUUCGGGUUGUAAACUGCUUUUGUACGGAACGAAACGGCCCUUUCUAAUACAGGGGGCUAAUGACGGUACCGUAAGAAUAAGCACCGGCUAACUACGUGCCAGCAGCCGCCGCCG
rnacentral:rRNA from 1 species